AUUCAAUGAGGAAAUAUUACAAUGAAAGCAAAGAAGAUAAGUUGGUAGCGCAUGGAAAACGGGUUUUGCAGCUGGUAUUUAUGGUGAAGCAAGCAGCCCACAUAUCUUAGUUUGGCUAUUUGACCAUGGCAGCUGAUCGUCUUAUUGACCCUUACUUACCUAACAAGAGAGAGAGAGGGGGGGAGUGGUGUUGAAAGUUGAAACGAUAGCUAAGUACUUUGAAUGAGAAAAUGUAAAACUGGUUUGUCUUGAGCUACAAGUUGGUUAGAUGGAGUUUGGUGCUUUUCCACUAAUUAAAUAGCCCCAGGGGCCGAUGACGCUUACACAGCACGCCGACGUAGACCGACGUGAAAGAAAUCCAUUGAACCACAUUCGCUGUGACAUGGAAACCAUUUUGGCAAAGGGACCCUACCCCAGUUGCUGUCAGUUUCUUUACAGGAAAUUAAAUGGGUUGCGUUCAAGUUUUUAAGACAAUCAUAUCCAUGCUGUUGCUUCUCAUCUAUAUAUAUAUAUACAUAUAUAUAUAUAUAUAUAGAUGAGAAUUAGAAUUCAAAUCACGCAAUAAUACAUUGCCUAAAUUAUGUUCUAAGCUUUUGGUUUCUUACAGUUUUCAUAACA